GGUGUUCGUUUGGUGUUGCAUGACAUAUGCUUGAUGAAAUUACUAUUAAAUUUGAUGGACUUCCACUCUAUCCAAUUUUGGGGAUGUUUGGAGUAGACAGAUUUGAUGCUAUUCUUCUUCCAGGCUAGCUGAGUGAUCAAUAAUAAUAGGUAGGCUUUUUAUUUGCAUUCAUGCCCAUCAUGGCUUUGAAAUGAUUGAAAUAUUUUGUUGGCAAAAGACCAUGGAAUUCAUUGUGUGAGAGGUCUAUGAUUCGCAAAUUAGGGAAAGAGAAUUUGGUUUUGGGACU